rnacentral:rRNA from 1 species
GGUAAACGCUGGCGGCGUGCCUAAAACAUGCAAGUCGAACGCGUACCUUCGGGUGCGAGUGGCAGACGGCUGAGUAACGCGUGGGUGACCGACCUCGAAGUGGGGAAUAACUGCCCGAAAGGGUGGCUAAUACCGCGUGUGCUGUGGUCUUCGGUGAUCACAGGAAAGUCCCUUUCGGGGGACGCUUCGUGAGGGGCCCGCGUCCGAUUAGCUAGUUGGUGGGGUAACGGCCUACCAAGGCGAUGAUCGGUAGCUGGUCUGAGAGGAUGAUCAGCCAGACUGGGACUGAGAGACGGCCCAGACUCCUACGGGAGGCAGCAGUUAGGAAUUUUGGGCAAUGGGCGAAAGCCUGACCCAGCAACGCCGCGUGGGUGACGAAGGCCUUCGGGUUGUAAAGCCCUUUUCUGAGGGAAGAUGAUGACGGUACCUCAGGAAGAAGCACCGGCUAACUACGUGCCAGCCGCCGCCGUAACAC